CACACACAUUGCACCCCUGACACGCACAGCACACACACACUGCACCCCUGACACUCACAGCACCCUCACACACACACUGCACCCCUGACACGCACAGCACACACACUGCACCCCUGACACUCACAGCACCCUCACACACACUGCACCCCUGACACGCACAUCACACACCCUCACUUACACACACUGCACCCUUGACACUCACAGCUUCCUCACAUGCAUACACUGCACCCUCACACACAGCUUCCUUACAUGCACAUAGCACCCUCAUGCAAACACAGCACCCACUCACACACAGCACACACACACUGCACCCAUCACACACACAGCACCCUUACCCACAUAGCACCCUCACGCAAACGCAGCACCCAUCACUCACACACACACUGCACCCCUCUCUCACACACACUACACCCCUUACACACACACACACACACAGAGCACCCUCACACACACUGCACAAUAUGCUUUCCUGGCAUUUUUGUCUCCUGGUAUCCCAACUAUGGAGACACCAGAGACAAAUUUCAAGCAAACACAGUGCAAGCAUGUUAUUAAAUUUGCUUGCGCUGUGCAGAACAAAUACAGGGU